ACCAAUCAAGUUUGAUCUUUCAAAUUGCUACAUAACUUCCCAAAAUGGCGGAGGACGAUCUUCCUGAAGAUUAUGAUGUUAUCGUCCUUGGAACGGGUUUUCCCGAGUCUGUAGUAGCAGCAGCGCUUUCAAGAGUUGGAAUGAAAGUGCUUCACUUGGACGGAAAUGAUUACUAUUCUGAUCAGUGGGGCACUUUCACUUUUGACAGUUUGGUGAAAUGGAUUGAUCAUUAUCAGACUAACAGUCAAGCAGACAUGGAGGAAAAUGAAGAUAAGCAAGCCGCAAAUGAACACCUCAACCUGGAGUCUGGUACAUACACAGUUGCAGUCCCCAGUCGAUUACAUGAAAUCAAGAAUGUGGUUGUCAAGUCUUACUUUUGGUCACCAGGAAGGACAUUUGGUCACUAUAAUUAUGGUGGACGACUAAAUGGCAUACUGGCAUGAAGAAUAUAUCCUUGCAAGCACAAAUUCUCGUUUUGUCGCCAUGCAUGCUGAUUCAAAGCAGCAUUCCGAGGUGAGUAUUUUUUCACUUGAGUGAUUUCUUUGAAAUUCAAAAGCACUCAGUAGUACUGAGUAGAAUUAUUUGGUAGAAAAUUUGGUUUGUUAGACACAAAUCAGUCGACAGACUCGAUCCAACAGAUCAGAAUCUCUGAACCGGUUCAUGAACAAGUGAAAAUUUCGAAGAAUUGUGAAAUAAUUAUUUCAUCAUAUGUGUAAACAUACGUACAAUAAAUGCCAGUUUUUUAUUUAUAUACAGACCCUCUUAGAGCAGAAUCUCAGAUCAGAAGAGAUAUGAAAUCUCCCUGCGAUUAAUAUUACCUACUGCUUGGAACACCAAUUUUGUAUCUCAAGAUAAAUGAUUUUAUUGUUCAAGGUCAAAUGUGGCGCCAUGAGAAGUGAAUGGCAUUUUUGAUUGUCGAAAUUUGCCAAAGGUCAAUUUGAUGCAAAGGGUCUUGAAAUAUGCUCUAAUUUCAUUCAUUGCUCUGGGGUGGUGAUUUUUGAAGUACUGUAUUUUCCGGGCGGUGGGGUUGAAAAAAAGGACACUUUUUGAGAUAUGAAGCUGCCCUACAUAGGGAAAAAUUAGCUGAAUUUCAAAUGCAGGCCUUGGUUGAAUGCCCUGCUUUCCUUAGGUAUGGGGGGUGCAGGGGCUUCCACUGACUAGUGACUGGUACUGUAGGCCUGCAUCACAUGCAUGAAUUGGACAAGUAGACAAGCAUAUUUUUGAAUAUUUCAGAAACUGAGCUUCAAAAGUGAGAAUUCUUUUUUCAGUAAUUUUUUAAACCUUUUGUGUAUGUAGUUUACCACAUAUUUGCUUCACACUGAUUGUCCUUUCCAUUGGAAAGGCAAAUGACUUGAUCUCCUCAAUACAACUCCGAGCUCCAAAACAGCAAACAGUAGUGACAGAUUAUUUUAAAUAAAUUGUCUGUGUAACAUUUUGACCUUAAAGUUUUGGACUGUUGAUGCUAAAAUGGCCUAAGAAACUUAAUGUUUUGUCAUGGAUUUGUUUACAUUUUUCUGUACAUACUAACUCCAAAAAAAUACUGUAUAUGGACUAUGUCCUCUCUGUAUUAGAGUGAGAACUUUGCACGGACUUUAAAUGUGCAAAUACAGGGCACUUAAUGUUUUAUCUUUUUUUUUAUCUUAUCUUCACAUGUGCUCACUCAGCUGAUUUAUGCUUAUCAUCAUUUUUAACUCACAUUUGUUAUGACAAUUAUUAACUUACCAAAUGCAUCUCUUAUGAUUUGACGACUGUGAUAGUCAAGUUUUUUAACUUGUUUUGCACUUUGCAGUUUGGAUCAAAACAGGCGCUUGUAAAAUGUAAAAGAUUUGUUUCAAUGUAUGAAUGAAUCACCAACUGUUCCUUUCUCCUUUAUCAUUACUUUUGGGAUGUUUAAUGGUUCAAUGUGUCUUCUUGCUUUUCUUUUUCAAGGAUUUUCAGUGCAUUGGCUGGAUAUGCUAUUCCAGAUUGACAUGGUUCGUGAUGGCAUCUAAUGUGAGCUAGCUUCAAGAACAUGACACAGUGCAUGGAGCGCAGUCAUCGGAUGCAUCUGGAACAAAAACAGAAAGUCAUGACUUGAUGAGGUUAAGACUGUGCAAGGUUUCUAUGCAGAAAGAUACAGUUGGUCUGAACAAUACAAGCCUCUCAUUGAAAAGAUAGUUAAACUUGUUGAUGGUGUGGCUGGUAUGAAUCUGAAUGGCAGUACGCAAUCGCUCUUCACAACUACAGUAAAAGUCUCCCAUUCAAGUGGAUAUUGUUAGCUUGCUUUAGAUUACUUUGUUACCCAGGCCCCAGUUGUUCAAAGAUGGAUUGGAUAAAUCACUUUAUUACAUACUAUG